rnacentral:rRNA from 1 species
AGAGUUUGAUCCUGGCUCAGGACGAACGCUGGCGGCGUGCCUAAUACAUGCAAGUAGAACGCUGAAGUCUGGUGCUUGCACUAGACGGAUGAGUUGCGAACGGGUGAGUAACGCGUAGGUAACCUGCCUCAUAGCGGGGGAUAACUAUUGGAAACGAUAGCUAAUACCGCAUAACAGUAUUUACCGCAUGGUAGAUAUUUGAAAGGAGCAAUUGCUUCACUAUGAGAUGGACCUGCGUUGUAUUAGCUAGUUGGUGAGGUAACGGCUCACCAAGGCUUCGAUACAUAGCCGACCUGAGAGGGUGAUCGGCCACACUGGGACUGAGACACGGCCCAGACUCCUACGGGAGGCAGCAGUAGGGAAUCUUCGGCAAUGGGGGCAACCCUGACCGAGCAACGCCGCGUGAGUGAAGAAGGUUUUCGGAUCGUAAAGCUCUGUUUUAAGAGAAGAACUGUGAGAAGAGUGGAAAGUUUCUCACUUGACGGUAUCUUACCAGAAAGGGACGGCUAACUACGUGCCAGCAGCCGCGGUAAUACGUAGGUCCCGAGCGUUGUCCGGAUUUAUUGGGCGUAAAGCGAGCGCAGGCGGUUUGAUAAGUCUGAAGUAAAAGGCUGUGGCUUAACCAUAGUACGCUUUGGAAACUGUCAAACUUGAGUGCAGAAGGGGAGAGUGGAAUUCCAUGUGUAGCGGUGAAAUGCGUAGAUAUAUGGAGGAACACCGGUGGCGAAAGCGGCUCUCUGGUCUGUAACUGACGCUGAGGCUCGAAAGCGUGGGGAGCGAACAGGAUUAGAUACCCUGGUAGUCCACGCCGUAAACGAUGAGUGCUAGGUGUUGGGUCCUUUCCGGGACUCAGUGCCGCAGCUAACGCAUUAAGCACUCCGCCUGGGGAGUACGACCGCAAGGUUGAAACUCAAAGGAAUUGACGGGGGCCCGCACAAGCGGUGGAGCAUGUGGUUUAAUUCGAAGCAACGCGAAGAACCUUACCAGGUCUUGACAUCCCGAUGACCGCCCUAGAGAUAGGGUUUCUCUUCGGAGCAUCGGUGACAGGUGGUGCAUGGUUGUCGUCAGCUCGUGUCGUGAGAUGUUGGGUUAAGUCCCGCAACGAGCGCAACCCCUAUUGUUAGUUGCCAUCAUUCAGUUGGGCACUCUAGCGAGACUGCCGGUAAUAAACCGGAGGAAGGUGGGGAUGACGUCAAAUCAUCAUGCCCCUUAUGACCUGGGCUACACACGUGCUACAAUGGCUGGUACAACGAGUCGCAAGUCGGUGACGGCAAGCUAAUCUCUUAAAGCCAGUCUCAGUUCGGAUUGUAGGCUGCAACUCGCCUACAUGAAGUCGGAAUCGCUAGUAAUCGCGGAUCAGCACGCCGCGGUGAAUACGUUCCCGGGCCUUGUACACACCGCCCGUCACACCACGAGAGUUUGUAACACCCGAAGUCGGUGAGGUAACCUUUUAGGAGCCAGCCGCCUAAGGUGGGAUAGAUGAUUGGGGUGAAGUCGUAACAAGGUAGCCGUAUCGGAAGGUGCGGCUG